GGGCCGCUAACUCAACAGGCAGAGUAUCCGCCUUUUAAGCGGAAGGUCGCCGGUUCAAGCCCGGCGCGGCCCACCA
rnacentral:tRNA from 1 species